rnacentral:rRNA from 1 species
AUACGGAGGAUCCGAGCGUUAUCCGGAUUUAUUGGGUUUAAAGGGAGCGUAGGUGGAUUGUUAAGUCAGUUGUGAAAGUUUGCGGCUCAACCGUAAAAUUGCAGUUGAAACUGACAGUCUUGAGUACAGUAGAGGUGGGCGGAAUUCGUGGUGUAGCGGUGAAAUGCAUAGAUAUGACGAAGAACACCGAUUGCGUAGGCAGCUGACCAGAUCGCAAAUGACGCUCAUGCACGAAAGUGCGGGGAUCGAACAGGAUUAGAUACCCUGGUAGUCCGCACAGUAAACGAUGAAUACUUGUUUUCGGCGAUAUAAUGUCGGAGGCAAAGCGAAAGCGAUAAGUAUUCCACCUGGGGAGUACGCCGGCAACGGUGAAACUCAAAGGAAUUGACGGGG